rnacentral:rRNA from 1 species
GCGCGAAAACUUUACAAUGCUGGCAACAGCGAUAAGGGAACCUCGAGUGCCAGGUUACAAAUCUGGCUGUCGAGAUGCCUAAAAAGCAUUUCAUAGCAAGGGCCGGGCAAGACCGGUGCCAGCCGCCGCGGUAACACCGGCGGCUCGAGUGGUAACCGUUAUUAUUGGGUCUAAAUGGUCUGUAGCCGGCCGGAUAAGUCUCUUGAGAAAUCUGGCAGCUUAACUGUCAGGCUUUCAGGUGAUACUGUCUGGCUCGAGGCCGAGAUAGGUGAGUGGUACUUCAUGGGUAGUAGUGAAAUCUUGUAAUCCUUGAAGGACCACCAGUGGCGAAGGCGUCUCUCCAGAACGGACCUGACGGCAAGGGACGAAAGCUAG